rnacentral:misc_RNA from 1 species
AUCCCUGGAUGAGGAAAAAAAAAUUCACCGGUUGAAAAGUAGUUUGGGCGGUAGUGUCCUAAUAUGGCUCCCGGAUUCGGAAUUCUGUGAACAAAAUACGUAAGAAUGCCAUAGAAACUCAAAUUAAAAAAAAAAGUUGAUCGAUACGUUUCACGUAUAAGGGCUGUAUGAAAAUAACAACAAUAAUAGCAAUGAUGAUGAUGAUGAUGAUGAUGAUGAUGAUAAUAAUAAUAAUAACAACAGGGGAGAAAUCAGAAGCUGAAGAUGAAAACUUUACCUGGAGAUCGGACGCACGCGCGGGACCUAAUAUACGGCAACGUGCGGAGCUUACGUUCAUCUAUAC